UACAGAGGGUGCGAGCGUUAAUCGGAAUCACUGGGCGUAAAGGGUGCGUAGGUGGUUGAAUAAGUCAGAUGUGAAAUCCCUGGGCUCAACCUAGGAAUUGCGUUUGGUACUGUUCAGCUAGAGUGCAGUAGAGGGAAGUGGAAUUUCCGGUGUAGCGGUGAAAUGCGUAGAUAUCGGAAGGAACAUCAGUGGCGAAGGCGACUUCCUGGACUGUUACUGACACUGAGGCACGAAAGCGUGGGGAGCGAACAGG
rnacentral:rRNA from 1 species